CGAGGCGAGUGAGGGAGUUCAACCGGAGUAGCCGACUUUGGCGAGAGGCAGCAACUUCCGCCGGGGCCGACGUCGACGGUCGGGCUGAGAGGCCUGAAGGUAGUAGUCGGACCGGAAGGCGACCUCCAUCACCUGAUCCGGACCAUGCCGGCGAAGGGAACCCGUCUCGUAGGUUU
rnacentral:ncRNA from 2 species